ACAUAGGAAUAUAUAGGAAAAAUCUUUAAAAAUCUUCUCCUCAAGAACCACUGGGCCAGGAAAGAUGAAACUCAUGUGGAAUCAUCCUCAGGUAGUGUAGGUUCAAGUUUGUUCAAAUGAUGACCCCUGGGGCAAGGGUGGGGCCAAAAUGGCCAAUUAAAGUUUUACAUAGGAAUAUGUAGGAAAAAUCUUUAAAAAUCUUCUUCUCAAGAACCACUGGGCCAGGAAAGAUGAAACUCAUGUGGAAGCAUCCUCAGGUAGUGUAGGUUCAAGUUUGUUCAAAUCAUGACUCCUGGGUCUAGGGUGGGGCCAAAAUGGCCGACCCAAGUUUUACAUAGGGAUAUAUUGGGAGACCAAUAUAUUUAAAAUCUUCUUUUCAAGUACUUCAAAGCCAUGAUUAGUGAUAUUUAUAUGGAAUCAUCCUAAGGUAGUGUGGAUUCUAGUUCAAAUCAUGAACCCCUGGGGGGAUAAAAUUCAAGCCCCCCCUCCCCCAACCAUCACCUCAGUAAACUUUCAGUUCUGAUCUGAUAUGUGCUUUUUCCUAGCUGAUGUGCUCAGGUGAGCGCUGUGGCCCCUGGGCCUCUUGUUUCUUGAUGUAUGCUUCAGAUGUAUGAUCAAUGUUGCGAUUUGUGAAUCUGACUGAAUAUUUGUGAAUAGGUCUAGUCAUUCAUAAUUUUUGUUUUAUGUCUGCUAAAGAUGUAAAGAUGAUAUCACAACCUCAUCCUAUGGAUUUUAUGGUCACCUGAGUCAAUUUAGUGAUCUAUUGCUCUCUGUUUUUGUCUGUCAUUAUCCAUCAGGCAACACACGUCAGACGUAAACUUCUUUUGUUGAACUAUAGGGCUAAUGGUACAUUUGUAACUUUAGUUGGUACAAAGCAACCACAUAAAGAGAGUUUGAGUGAAGGAGAAUUGAAGUGAAGGCACAAACCUUUUCCAAUGGGAGAUAAUCAAGACAAGAAGAAAAAAAUAGAGUGGAUUAUUAAAAUAUCUUCUCAAGAACCACUGAGUCAGAAAAUUAAAAUUAUGUGUAAAAAUCCUUAGGAAGUGUGAAUUUUAAAUUUUUCAAUCCUAGGGGGUAAGGCGGGGACACAAUAAGGAAGCCGAGUUUUACAUUAAAAUAUAUAGAAAAACAUCUUCUUAGAACCAUUGGUAAAAAAAAAACAACAAGAAGCCCAUGGGCCUCAUCGCUCACCUGAGCAUUGUGGCUAGGAAAAAGAAGAAAUUUGUGUAUUCUUGAAAAUUUUAAAUCCAAAUGUAGUCCCAUGACCAAUCAUGGUUUUGUUAUUCUUGAAAAGAUGAUUUUUAAAAAAAAUUCCUAUAUAUGUCUAUGGAAAACUUUGAUCGGCCAUUGUGGCCCUGCCCCACCCCUGGGGGUCAUAAUUGGAAGAAACUAGGGUCUACACUACCUGAGAAUGUUUAAGGAAUCACUGUCUAGUUUGUAUACCGGUAGUAUGCCAGGUCAUCAGCAAAAGUGGGAAACAUAGGAUAAUAAUGUGGCCCCGCCCUACCCUUGACCUCAUGAUUUAAACAAACUUAAACAAAACACUACCUGAGGAUGCUUUCAUUUUAAUAUGAUCAAUUAUGGCUUUGCUUCUCUUGAGAGGAAGAUUUUUAAAGAAUUUUCCUAUAUUUUCUAUGUAAAAAUUUUGUCGGCCAUUUUGGCCCCGCCCUACCCCCAGGGGUCAUGAUUUGAGCAAACUUGAAUUUACACUACCUGACGAUGUUUUCCCAUAAGGUCCAUCUUUCCUGGCUCAGUGGUUCUUGAGAAGAAGAUUUUUAAAACAUGCCACAAAAUUUUCAUUAAUUCCCAAUUAUCUCCCCUUGAAUGAGGGCGUGGCCCUUCAUUUGAACAAACUUGAAUUCCCUUCACACAAGGAUGCUUUGUGGCAGGUUUGGUUGAAAUUGGCCCAGUGGUUCUUGAGAAGAAGUCGAAAAUGUGAAAAGUUUACAAACAGACAUCUGGACAGACAGCUAGACAGACGGACGCCGGACAAAAUGUGAUCAGAAAUCCUCACUUGAUCCUUCGGCUCAGGUGAACUAAAAACUGAAACUUAUGUUACAAAAUCCUGAAGGUAGUGCAGAUUUUUAAUUGCUCAAAACAUGUCCCCAGGGAGAAGGACGGUACCACAAUUCGGAAUCCAAGUUUUAAAAUCAAACUAAAUAGGAAAAUCUUUUUAGAUCACCUGAGCUGAAAGUUAAAGUGAGCUUUUCUGAUCCCCUAAUGUCUGUAUGUCCGUCUGUAAACUCUUGACAUUUUCAACUUCUUCUCAAGAACCACUUGGUCAAUUUUAACCAAAUUUGGAACAGAGCAUCCUUGAGUGAAGCAGAGUUUCAAUUGUCAAAAUUGAGGGUCAAGUUCCCUACAAGAGGGGAUAAUGAAGAAAAGACAAAAAAAGGUAGAGUCAUUAAAAAAUCCUAUCAAUAACCUCUGGGCCAAAACAUUUGAAACUAAUAUCGAAGCAUCCUGAUGAAUGUACAUUUGUUAAAUUUAUGACCUUGAAGGUAGGGCAAGGCCACCAUAGGGUAUCAAAAAUUUAAAUAGAAAUACAUUGGGGGAAUCAAAAUCUUCUUUUCAUGAACAACUGAGCCAGGAAAGCUGAAACUUAUGUGGCCCUUGGGCCUCUUGUUAAUUUUUAGGAUAUGUAUUUAAAAUUGUACACAUUAUUCUCAUUCUUCAUUUUAUUCAUUCGGUCAUUCAUUCAUUUAUUCAGCGUUGCGCAAUCCGAUUUACUAACACUCUACGUUGUCUUGUUCAGUGUCUAUUAUAAACCUAAACACCCCUAUUUAGUUAAACGUUGCAUUCCAGGUAGACUACCAGGUAAUGUUGUGAAUGGGUUAUUCCAUUAUUCAGUGGUACAUUGAUUUCUAUUGGUCAGUGUAGUUGAUUGGUUCUAAGGUAGAAUUGGCGGGAAUAUUGAACAUUUUCGGAAUCUCAAACACCUGACCAAUUUGGAUCCACACCCUGAGCAAUCGAUCUUGUUAUUUUAUAUUAAACAGAACCGGUUACACUUAUGAUGAAGCAUCCUGGGAUAGCGAAAAUUCUAAAAUGUUAGAAAGUUAACCCCCGGGGGGUAGGGCGGGGUCACAAUAGGGAAUCCAAGUUUUACAUUAAAAUAUAUAUGGAAAACACCUUUAAAAAUCUUCUCCUCAAGGACCAUUAGGUCAAAAAAUCCGAAACCCAUACGUAAGCGUCCUAGGGUAGUGAAGGUUUAAAUUGUUAAAAUUACAACCCCUGGAGAUAGGGCAGGCCGCAAUAUGGAAUACACAUGUAUACGUUUUGCAUGAAAUAUAUAGAAAAAAAUCUUUAAAAUCUUCUUCUCAAGAUCCACUGGGUCAGGAAAGCUGAUACUUACAUGGAAGCUUCAUUGGGUUGUGUAGGUUCUAAAGAUUUUAAAUUAUGACAUGGAAGGGGUAGGGGUCCACAAAAGGUAUAAAAAGAGGGGAAAUUAAGCAAAGAACUACAUCACCAAAGUUACUCAAGUGGGCAGUGUGGCUUAUGGGCCUCUUGUUUGCAAUAAGUACUGGCCAAAAAAGCUAGAAUUUAUAUGAAAGCAUCUUUGGGUAGGGUAGAUUCUAAAUUGUUCAAAGCAUGGCCCCUUUUUGUGUGGGAGUGGCACAAUGGUCCCAUGGGCUUCUUGUUUACCGUACAUGUGUACCCCUCGAGAAUUUUAUUACUUAUAUACAUGUAUGGAGACGACAACACGUGUUAAUGGAGAGCUUCAAAUGGUGUCCAAUAUUCGACACUGAAAGGUAAAAUCAGAGAAUAAUCUUUUCAGUGCUAGCACCUACUGAGACACGGGACCUCGUUUGAUAAAAUACGUUUCAAUCGUCAACUUUCCUUACUUAUGCAGCAAUACAUGUAUACUUUCAUCAACUGCAUAAGGGGUUGAUUCAAUACAGAAGAGCUAGUGUGCUCUACGUGUAAACAAUUUCUAAAACGAGGUAGAAAAGAUUAUCAACAGUCUUGUUUAUAAAGUCCACAUUUUGUUAGUUCUAUAUAUAGACGAUACAAAGACUUCGCCAGCAUAUACAUGUACAUGUACAAUUUAUCAUUAAUUGUAAUUAUUUCCACAUUAAAUUGUCGACGAAUGUU